rnacentral:lncRNA from 1 species
CGGUAGAUAACCUACCAGGGAGGCCUUGAUAUAAACAGGGGUACGUGUAAAUAUAUGUGUUCACAGGCUCGAAUACAUCGCCAGGAACUGUAAGUACAGAACAUGUAACAUGGUGGCUACAUAAACAGAACGAGAUGUGGCAUGCUUAAAAGCCCGAGCCCGUGCUAUGCCUAUAUAUAAUCAGGUGCAGCUUAAAUAUACGUGGGCACAUACUGAAAGGAACAAGAUAGCAUGAUGAUAUCCGAUCGACUAGAUUUGGGAGAAACCUGAUCGAGCCAACACAAAAAAGAAAUAGAGCAAGAUUUGAGCUGCACCUGCAGAGUGUUACUUAUGGUGGAACUGCAGGAGACUUGCUCGGAUUUAGUCAACACGAAUUGUAAGUGUAAAGUAGAUCAUCUUGGCUGUUACACACGAAAAGAAAAGACAGUGUGUUUUUUAGACUGCAUGAUCAACAAUAACAACAACAAAUGUACAGAAUGUUUAGGUACGCAAGCAUGCGUAGCAUGUAUUAAAAGUUCAAUCUGUUUGGUGGAAGGCACCAUUGAUCUCGUUCUCACAGCCAUACUUACACGAACACAUGCAGUUUUAAUUAAUUAAAUGAGCAGCCAACAAAGGCAAUUACGAAUCUUGGGGCAGGAGGUAGUGAGAGCAACUCAAAUGUACACUAGUAGAGGGAUCGUCAAGAUGUAGGGGAUGGAGGUGUCUCACUUGGUUUCAAAAUAAGAUGCACACAAGACAACCACAUAAAUAUAGCAGUGCAUAGUACUGACGAAACAGGGACAUCUUUUUGCCAACAUGUAUAAUUCGGAGUAGCAAUAGCGAGCAAAGGAAGAUGAGAGGGAGAUGGAGAAGCUCAGUGAUACGCUUCUCAUACAGAGCAAACCCAGCGACC